UAGUGCCUACGGGGGGCAGCAGUGGGGGAUAUUGCACAAUGGGGGGAACCCUGAUGCAGCGACGCCGCGUGGGUGAAGAAGCGCCCCGGCGCGUAAGGCCCUGUCGGCAGGGAAGAAGAAGGACGGUACCUGACCAAGAAGCCCCGGCUAACUACGUGCCAGCAGCCGCGGUAAUACGUAGGGGGCAAGCGUUAUCCGGAUUUACUGGGUGUAAAGGGGGCGCAGACGGCGAUGCAAGCCAGGAGUGAAAGCCCGGGGCC
rnacentral:rRNA from 1 species